rnacentral:snoRNA from 1 species
AUGGAGUACAUGCACCUCGUGGAGCAACUUCGUGGUUUCCUUUCCUCACGGAACUACGUGUCAGGUCUGUGGGAAGGAGCUGCCGACAGAG